GACGAACGCUGGCGGCGUGCUUAACACAUGCAAGUCGAACGGAAAGGCCCGGCUUUUGUGGGGUGCGCGAGUGGCGAACGGGUGAGUAACACGUGAGUAACCUGCCCUUGACUGUGGGAUAACUUCAGGAAACUGGGGCUAAUACCGGAUAGGAGCUCCUGCUGCAUGGUGGGGGUUGGAAAGUUUCGGCGGUUGGGGAUGGACACGCGGCUUAUCAGCUUGUUGGUGGGGUAGUGGCUUACCACGGCUUUGAGGGGUAGCCGGCCUGAGAGGGUGACCGGCCCCAUUGGGACUCAGAUACGGCCCAGACUCCUACGGGAGGCAGCAGUGGGGAAUAUUGCACAAUGGGCGGCAGCCUGAUGCAGCAACGCCGCGUGCUGGAUGACGGCCUUCGGGUUGUAACCCGCUUUCGCCUGUGACGAAGCGUGAGUGACGGUAAUGGGUAAAGAAGCACCGGCUAACUACGUG
rnacentral:rRNA from 1 species